rnacentral:rRNA from 1 species
GUGGGGAUCUUGCGCAUGGUCGCAGGCUGACGCAGCGACGCCGCGUGGAGGACGAAGGCCUUCGGGUUGUAAACUCCUUUUCUGGGGGACGAAUAAGGUAGGCAGGCAAUGGUCUACCGAUGACGGUACUCCAGGAACAAGCGCCGGCUAACUUCGUGCCAGCAGCCGCGGUAAGACGAAGGGCGCAAGCGUUAUCCGGAAUUACUUGGGCGUAAAGGGCGUCUAGGCGGUCAAUCAAGUCGACGUUGAAAGCCCUUGGCUUAACUGAGGGAUGUACGUCGAAACUGGNUGGCUCGANGAACGUAAAAGAANGCGGNACUNUCGGAGUAGCGGUGAAAUGCGUAAAGACCGAGANGNACCCCGAUNGUGNANACAGGCUUNUUGGCGNUUUCUGACNCUUNAACCCUUAAGGCCAGGGGAGCCNAANGGGAUUANANACCCCCGGAGUCCUGG